rnacentral:rRNA from 1 species
UCGAACGAGUUCUCGUUGAAUCUCGGUGCUUGCACCGAGAUUCAACAUGGAACGAGUGGCGGACGGGUGAGUAACACGUGGGUAACCUGCCCUUAAGUGGGGGAUAACAUUUGGAAACAGAUGCUAAUACCGCAUAGAUCCAAGAACCGCAUGGUUCUUGGCUGAAAGAUGGCGUAAGCUAUCGCUUUUGGAUGGACCCGCGGCGUAUUAGCUAGUUGGUGAGGUAAUGGCUCACCAAGGCGAUGAUACGUAGCCGAACUGAGAGGUUGAUCGGCCACAUUGGGACUGAGACACGGCCCAAACUCCUACGGGAGGCAGCAGUAGGGAAUCUUCCACAAUGGACGCAAGUCUGAUGGAGCAACGCCGCGUGAGUGAAGAAGGCUUUCGGGUCGUAAAACUCUGUUGUUGGAGAAGAAUGGUCGGCAGAGUAACUGUUGUCGGCGUGACGGUAUCCAACCAGAAAGCCACGGCUAACUACGUGCCAGCAGCCGCGGUAAUACGUAGGUGGCAAGCGUUAUCCGGAUUUAUUGGGCGUAAAGCGAGCGCAGGCGGUUUUUUAAGUCUGAUGUGAAAGCCCUCGGCUUAACCGAGGAAGCGCAUCGGAAACUGGGAAACUUGAGUGCAGAAGAGGACAGUGGAACUCCAUGUGUAGCGGUGAAAUGCGUAGAUAUAUGGAAGAACACCAGUGGCGAAGGCGGCUGUCUGGUCUGUAACUGACGCUGAGGCUCGAAAGCAUGGGUAGCGAACAGGAUUAGAUACCCUGGUAGUC